UACGUAGGGUGCAAGCGUUGUUCGGAAUCAUUGGGCGUAAAGCGCGUGUAGGUGGUUAGGUAAGUCAGUUGUGAAAUCCCUCGGCUCAACCGAGGAAGUGCAUCUGAAACUACUUAGCUUGAGGACGGUAGAGGAAGGUGGAAUUCCUAGUGUAGAGGUGAAAUUCGUAGAUAUUAGGAGGAAUACCGGCGGCGAAGGCGGCCUUCUGGGCCGUUCCUGACACUGAGACGCGAAAGCGUGGGUAGCAAACAGG
rnacentral:rRNA from 1 species